AGGAUAGGAACAUGAGUGAAAUGUGGAAAGGAAAAUGGGAGAGGAGUCAAUUAAUUUUCUCUUCUUCUUUCUUUUUGUCAGCCAAGAAAUCCGAUUUCAUCCAAAGCUGACAGAUCCAGUCCAGGUGGGAGAAUAAUGCACUGGCAGGCAGACUAGGAGCAGUGAGGUGUGGGGAAGAUGAGGAAAUGAGAGUGAGACAUAAAUCUGAGCUCCUUAAAGGAAUACAGUGAUCCAGGCCAAUUCCGAGGGACUCAUGAGAAAGAAUGCUAUCCACAUCUUGAGAAAGAACAGUUGAAAAAGAAAUACAGAAGAAAACACAUGAUUUAUCAACUUUUUAUGGCUCAUAGUACUGCCUUUAUGAUGGAUAGCUGAAACUCUUCUCUAUGUGGAUACCUGGAUGGUUGACAGCUCCUAUGUGUCUGUCAGAAGCCAAUAGCCCUCCUUGCCUCCUCCUGGUAUACAUGGGGGAGAAAGCAAUAAAAACAUACUGGGACAGAUUGAAGCAGAGACAUCUUCCUAGAAUGUGGUAAGUCAGUCCUCUGUGCCUUUAAGGUCAGGCUUCAGGAACUUAAUUAAUAGUGAGUGAGGUUUGUUUACUGGAUUAAAUUGUCCAGUUCAUUGAAAUAGCUUUCACUUCCAAACUCCUGGCUCUAGAAGCUCACAUUUAAGCUUUGUAGUCUGGCAGGAAGGAAGUGUUUGGCACCUGUGGGCAGGUUCCAAGAAUCAACUUUCAUCUGGGACACAUGGCACAUGGCAGUUCCUCUUGGUUUGGCUGCAGAGCCCUUCCCUUGUGCCAUGCCUUUAGAGCAAAAAGGGGACUAGUUUUGUGCACCAGCUGUGAUGAGAUUUGGGAUGGGCUUACUUUGAAGUUUGGGCAGGGGAAUUGAGUAAUUAGCUCUGUAAUUCUUGUGCUGGGGUCCCCCCUGGUACAAAGAGCUUGGAACUCAUAUUGGGGAUUUUUUCUGCUUAUUGGCUUGGAACCUCCACCCAGAAUUUUGCAAAAGUCUCUGUUCUCAACAAUCCAACUUUUCCCUUACAAUUACACUGGGAACAAUGUGUUAGAAGUGUCAUAUACUGUUCCCUAUUGACACCUUUCUCAUGGUGUCAGAUGGCAUUGAUCAGAUUUGCAGUUUUCUGUUGAAUAUGACAAAUCAUAUCUGGCCUAAAGACAAGUUAACAACAUAGUCUCAGUAGGAGGUGAAUAAAACCAGUAAGCACCCUUAUGGAAAACUUCAGUGCAUGAGUGGGGUAUUAUCCCCAGUUUAAUGAACUGUUUAUGUGGACUGCAACCUCAAUAUAUACCAAACACUUGACAUGAUCUAAAAAAACACCAGUGCUAGAUGAAAACAAAACAUCUUAUUUUCAUAAAAUGCUGUUUUGUCAAUUCUUUUGAUCGAUUCAAUUGUAAACUGUGCUUAUUAUUUUUCAAGGGUCUUACAGAUAUCAUUUGGAAGAUUCUGUAAUGUUCUGAAGCUUGAUGCAAUCUACACAAUGUAGUCCACAAACAGAGCCACCUGGAAAGCUUUCAAAUCCAUAAAGAGUCACUCUUCCAUUGGACUCUGUGCUAGACAUCUUGCCUGAUGGAACUAAACUCCUUUGGUGAACAUAUGUCUCCCUCUUUUAUGCCUCCGUUGGUAUUAAUAAUCAGAGGGUUGUCAAAUAAAGUGACCUUUAUUGUCAUAUCUUUCAAAUGUUCUUAUAUAACUUGUGACAGAUGCAUGGGAGUUACCUUGUCAGAAGAAAGUCUUUGAGGUAGCAUUUUGUUCUACCAAAUCAAAUAAAAUCAAAUGCUUAUUUUUAUAAUCAUCACAAAAUAAGCACAGCUAGAUCUUGCAUUCUCUGCACUUUCAGUCAGUAGCGUAACUGUAAACAUUUGGCCUGCAGUAGAAAAUUAUUUGUGAAAGCCUAUCUGUUCUCUUUUCUUGCCUUCAUUAAAAUAUGAGAUACAUUUGUAGAUUCUCAUAAUGCUUCUUAGAGAUGGGAAAAUAGGCAUAUGGGCUAGUUGUUUUUGCUAUUUUCUUAGUCACUUUUUUGUGGCAAUAACAAAACCCAUGAUUUCCCCUAAGAAUUUGAUAUCCUUUUAUCUUUCAGCUAUCAAAAGAAAAAUCCACACAGGAGAAGAAGAAAUGGAAGAGGAGUUUCCAUUUUACAGACUAUCAUAUAUAGUUGAAUGGAGAACCCAUAGUGUUGGUUCAUCAGUACAUGUAUUUUAGACAGACACUGUGACAAUGAAUUGGGUCCAAGAUUGAAUGGGAGGAGCAGAACAAUCUUUGGGAUAGUUGAGGGCUUUUAAUGAACCUAGGCCUCUCCUUGAAACAAAGAUGCAUCUUAUUUUUAUAUCAAUAUUCUUUUAAAAAAUUUCUUUUAUUAAACUAUGAACCUGAUAAGCAUUAACAGACAUGGACAUUUCCAAAUUCAAAGAACAGAAAAAGGACUAUAUAAGAAGUUGUGAAUCUCCAUUACAUACAGCUUUUAAAAUAUAUGUAUUUCAAAUUUAACAUGGUAGUUCCAACACUUUUUGAUUUCCUAAGUCUCAUUCUACAUUUUCUUUUGCUCUCUUAUUUGUAUUUUUAAAUGCUUCAUUAAUGUUCUUUUCUAAUGUGAUUAUCAUUAACCCUUGUUUUCAAAACCCAACUAUUCAACAAGAAAGUAAUAAACUUUUUUUCAUAUUUUGAUAUUCUUUUGAUAAUACUGUAUGGCUACAAGCCAAGGGGAAAGGGAGACAAACAGACAGACAGAGAAAGAGACAGAGAAAUUGAGAGAAAGAGACAUGGGGAGGGGGGGAGACAGAGACAGAAAUGGAGACAGAGAGAGAGAGAGAAAGGGAAGGAGAGAGAGAGAGAGACAAAGAGAGAGGCAGAGAAGGAGAGAGACACACACACACACACACAGAGAAAGAGACAGACAGAGAGAGAAAGGGAGAAAGAGAGAGACAGAAAGACAGACAGACAGAGAGAAAGAGACAGGGAAGAUAAUUGCUAUGUUCAAGAAAUUUACCUUUUAAUGAUUGGGGUGUGGGGUGGAGAGAACAAUACAUAUAAGGCAUCUGGAAAAGGGGUUGGGAAAGACCCCAGCAUGGGUGGCAAGGCAGCAGGUGAGAAGAGGUCCAGAAUGUGAAUAUUGGCAUUAGUAAGAAGAAGCAGCAUGGCUGGGUAAUUGCUCAAAUGGUGGCCCUGGAGAAGGAAUCACCAAUCAUUUUUGCCUUUGUAUCUCAAG